GGCCCCGUGGUGUAGCGGUUUAACAUACUGGCCUGUCAAGCCAGAGAUCGCCGGUUCAAAUCCGGUCGGGGUCGCCA
rnacentral:tRNA from 2 species